GAGUUGUCAGAGCAGAGCCUCGGGAAACAGGACAGCCUGAUCUGGGAACUGGGUCUUGCAGCCAAUACCAAAUCUGCUUACCCUAGAACAUGCUAGCAAGGCAGCUGGUCUGGACUCAGGCAGGUCCCUCAGCAUCCUGGAGUUAUGCCCCCAACCACGUGCUGUCUCACCACCACACAGCAAAGCACCAUUGGCAUGAAAGGCAUGUGCAGAGAACAAUGCAGGCCACAAAAAAGAAGCUGAGAAGCCAAGGCCAAAAGAGGGUUGGCAGCAUGUGACUCUUCAUAACAAAAGGUUCAACAGACUUUUUACAGGAAUUGCCUCAUCAAGUCUGCAAGCGUUUCCAGCCAAACCCCAAGCUUCAGCUGGACUUCCACUCAACUGGAUGGGAUAAUGGAUUCCAGGUGCCUUUGCUCAGACUUGGAGACCAACUCUGUCCAGCAACCAUCCAUUUCAUGCCUCUGUCCAAAAGAUGCACAGGCCUGGCGUCUUCCGUUGAAAACAAUCUGCUUUACCAAGUUAAAUCCUCAUGCAUAAGGCACAGGUUUUACUUUAGAUUUCGGUUGUAAAGCUUUAAUCUACAGCUCUGGGAGCACAGAACCACCGGCAAUAAACUGGUCUUUAAAGGUUACAUCAUCAGAAUUAGCCUGAAUUCACAGGGCAAACAAGAGUAAUGUUGCACUUAAACUUCAGCCUGGCGGCAGCAGGAAA